rnacentral:rRNA from 1 species
AUUGAACGCUGGCGGCAGGCCUAACACAUGCAAGUCGAACGGUAACAGGAAGCAGCUUUCUGCUUCGCUGACGAGUGGCGGACGGGUGAGUAAUGUCUGGGAAGCUGCCUGAUGGAGGGGGAUAACUACUGGAAACGGUAGCGAAUACCGCAUAAUGUCGCAAGACCAAAGAGGGGGACCUUCUGGGCUCUUGCCCUCGGAUGUGCCCAGAUGGGAUUUGCUUGUUGGUGGGGUAACGGCGCACCAAGGCGACGAUCCCUAGCUGGUCUGAGAGGAUGACCAGCCACACUGGGACUGAGACACGGUCCAGACUCCUACGGGAGGCAGCAGUGGGGAAUAUUGCACAAUGGGCGCAAGCCUGAUGCAGCCAUGCCGCGUGUAUGAAGAAGGCCUUCGGGUUGUAAAGUACUUUCAGCGGGGAGGAAGGGAGUAAAGUUAAUACCUUUGCUCAUUGACGUUACCCGCAGAAGAAGCACCGGCUAACUCCGUG